UGGAUUUGAUCCCCAGGACCACACAAACUGAGCCUGGUGGUGCACGCCAUCGAUCCCAGCAUUUAGGAGGCAGAGGCAGGAGGAUCUACAUGCUGAAUUUGAUGUCAGCAGCUUACCCUUGCAGAGGUUCUGCACAGUAGCCAGGCUGAGAGACGCUGAUCGAAAGCUGUGGCCACUUUAUUAGUAGGGAAAAAUCUACACUUUGAACUCAGGCCUUGUGUAUUUAAAAACUCCGCUCUUGGCCCACUCUUGCAGCCCGCACAGCAGAGAAUAUCGCUGAAAAAUUUGCCUCAUCACGGCUGGGAUUCCCUGGCUCCUUCCUUGGCUCUGGGCACUGGGAAAAUGGCCUGGGUCUUUUGGAGAGAGGAGAGAAAGGGCAUAGGUCAGGCUUAGGGGGGUGCGACUAGAAGGCCUGGAACCCCAUCUGAGCUGAGCAGUGCGGUUAAUAGUCAGCUAGGAUCCACACACUUCUUAGAAGCUGACUGAAGGGGACACACGGUUCAAAACCAGCGUUAGUUCUUAUUUCCAGGAAGCACAAGACAGUUCUAGGCAUGUCUUCGACCUGCAAUGUGGCAAGAGAGGCCAAAGCUAGGUGCUCAUUUAGAAGGACCCCUGUUUAAUGUCCCUAUUGGUAAGGUGGGUUUUUUUCCCCUUGGGGUAGGGGUGUGGGGGUUGUUGUUUGCUUUGUUUUUUAAGCCAGAGCUGCUGCUGGACUGAGGAGCUGGGAUAGGCAAGACUGUAGACCUAUAACCCCAUUGGCUCUCUUCUCUCUCUAGGAUCUGGCCUACUUUUAGAGAAAGCUGACUCAGAGGGUCAUGUCAGCUCUGCAAAGGGUACCACGGAGACCAGAAUUGCUGUGGGGUUCCCUAGGGAGGGAGCGUUGCAGAAUCACUCUCAUAUUCUCUUUUCAAGACCUCUGUGGAGAGUGUCACCUACAGACAAACUGUCCUCCCUCAACCAGGCUGGUAGGGAGAGAAGACUGAGAUGUGGAAAGCUCUGGAGGAGACCUGGAGACCAAGCAAAAUCUUCCCAUGACUUGGGCGCACUGGGAAUAAAACUAACAUUUGAAAACCAUUUUACUUAAGUUUUUCUUUUGUCUUUUUUUUUUUUUUUUUUUUUUUUGAGACGGGGAGACGGGGUCUUUCCAUGCAAACUUGGCUGUCCUGGAACUUGCUCUGUAGACCAUGCUGACCCUGAACUCGAGAGCUCUUCCUGCCUCUGCCUCCAAGUACUGAGAUUAAAGCUGUUCACCACCCUGCCUGGGCUCAGAAGUUUUUACAAAUUCCACUUUCCUUUUUCUUAUUUAUUUUGUGGCACUGAAGAUGAGAUUUAGGGCUUUGAUGGGGCUGCAGCCUCAGCUUCCUUUUUUACAUACCUUUCCUUUACAUUUGUUUAAUCUACUUUUGUGUUUGCAGGCACAUGUGCCAUGGUGUGAGUGUGGAAGUUAAAAAAAGACAGCUUGGAGGAGUUGGUUCUCUCUUUCCACCUUGUAAGUUCCUUCCAUUGGGGUGGGGAGGUGUGGUGGAAGAGGGUGUGUCCCUGUGAUUACAGUGGCUACCAGAGUGAUGAUCAAGGGAGGAAAGAAGAUAGUUGGGUUUAACAGCACUAAGUAGCCAGUGUUGGUCCAAACUUGUGGACUCUGACCCCAAGUAAUUUACUCCAGGCAUAUUUAAGCAUAGCACAAUUCGGUGAAAAAUAUUCCUAGUGAUAAUUAGUUCCAUCUCACACGCACAAUAAAGCUUAAG
rnacentral:lncRNA from 1 species